CACGUAGGGCGCAAGCGUUGUCCGGAAUUAUUGGGCGUAAAGAGCUCGUAGGCGGUCUGUUACGUCUGCUGUGAAAACCCGGGGCUUAACCCUGGGCUUGCAGUGGAUACGGGCAGACUAGAGGCAGGUAGGGGAGAAUGGAAUUCCCGGUGUAGCGGUGAAAUGCGCAGAUAUCGGGAGGAACACCGGUGGCGAAGGCGGCAUCCUGGACCGACAUUGACGCUGAGGAGCGAAAGCUAGGGGAGCAAACGGG
rnacentral:rRNA from 1 species